UUUUCGCGUGAGCGAUUGCAGUGCAAAUCCUUUUAUUUUGUCAGUCUGAGCGGAGUCGAAGACUGGAAAAAUAAAAGAUUGCAACGGAAAGCGCGACUUUUU
rnacentral:sRNA from 1 species